rnacentral:Y_RNA from 1 species
GGCUGGUCCGAAGGUAGUGAGUUAUCUCACGUGAUUGUUCACAGUCAGUUACAGAUUGAACUCCUUGUUCUACUAUUUUCCCCCCUCCUCAUUACUGCACUUGACUAGUCUAAA